rnacentral:rRNA from 1 species
UACCUGCAGCUCAAGUGGUGACCGCUAUUAUUGGGCCUAAAACGUUCGUAGCCGGUCUAUUAAAUGCCUGGGUAAAUCGGACCGCUUAACGGUUCGAAUUCCGGGUAGACUGAUAGACUUGAGACCGGGAGAGGCUAGAGGUACUCCUGGGGUAGAGGUGAAAUUCUGUAAUCCUGGGGGGACCACCAGUGGCGAAGGCGUCUAGCUAGAACGGGUCUGACGGUGAGGGACGAAGCCCUGGGGCGCAAACCGGAUUAGAUACCCGGGUAGUCCAGGGUGUAAACGCUGCUUGCUUGAUGUUAGUUGGGCUCCGAGCCCGAUUAGUGUCGGAGAGAAGUUGUUAAGCAAGCUGCCUGGGAAGUACGGUCGCAAGACUGAAACUUAAGGAAUUGGCGGGGGAGCACAGCAACGGGUGGAGCGUGCGGUUU